rnacentral:rRNA from 1 species
AGUGAACGCUGGCGGUAGGCCUAACACAUGCAAGUCGAACGGCAGCACCGUAAGUGCUUGCUCUUACGUGUGGCGAGUGGCGGAAGGGGGAGGAAUACAUCGGAAUCUACUCUUUCGGGGGGGCUAAUGUAGGGAAACGUAUGCUAAUACCGCAUUCGACCUACGGGUGAAAGCAGGGGUUGUUUGGACCUUGCGCGGUUGAAUGAGCCGAUGUCGGAUUAGCUAGUUGGCGGGGUAAAGGCGUACCAAGGCGACGGUCCAUAGCUGGUCUGAGAGGAUGAUCAGCCACACUGGGACUGAGACACGGCCCAGACUCCUACGGGAGGCAGCAGUGGGGAAUAUUGGACAAUGGGCGAAAGCCUGAUCCAGCAAUGCCGCGUGAGUGAUGAAGGCCUUAGGGUUGUAAAGCUCUUUUACCUGGGAUGAUAAUGACAGUACCGGGAGAAUAAGCUCCGGCUAACUCCGUG